rnacentral:rRNA from 1 species
UACGUAGGGAGCAAGCGUUGUCCGGAAUCAUUGGGCGUAAAGCGCGCGUAGGCGGCCCCGUAAGUCCGCUGUGAAAGUCAAAGGCUCAACCUUUGAAAGCCGGUGGAUACUGUGGGGCUAGAGUCCGGAAGAGGCGAGUGGAAUUCCUGGUGUAGCGGUGGAAUGCGCAGAUAUCAGGAGGAACACCGAUUGCGAAGGCAGCUGGCUACAGGUAUAUUGACACUGAGGCAACGAAAGCGUGGGGGAUCAAACAGGG